GGAAUAGUGUGUACAUUCGCUGCUGAGUGAGGACAAGGAUGCCAAGGAUGUGGUGGACAAGGAUGACCUGAAUACACAGAAGCUACUGCUCAGCAAAGAAUACAACUGUCUGGUGAAAGGCUCGACCGUAUCAAAGUCCAGUGAUGUCGGGGUACGCGGCCGUUCCAUGUCUAGGGAUUGCAUUUUUGCCGACACUAACAAGGGAGAGAACUGAAGAUCUGCACCUGCAAAGAGCACCAGCCUUGAUAUAGAGUUGGUACGGCAACGACACAAGUCGGGCCCGCUGGAGCCCCAGUCCAGCACGACCCCUCCCCUGACCCCUAGCUCCUCCCAUUUGACCUCCGGCAUCAAAGAGUCAGCAUUGUUUAACAAUUCCAUCCCAUAGCAAUUUCUGAGCACAUAGAGUGUUUGCACAUUUUUCUCAACAAGCGCAAUGUCCGUGUUGAGUCUGCACUUGGGCCCUGAUUGGUUUGAUAGACUCAAGUGCCGGAGGUGGUAGAAGUGUUACAGACAUAAGAAGUUAUUGCAGCAGUUAUGGUAACACUAACAGUCCGCUCUCGCUGUUGGACAUUACAAUGAAUAUUACGAAAAAUACAAAUCUGGAUAACUCAUUCCAUUCUUUUUGUGACAAACAGAACUGCAGCAAGGAACAGGAGAAAAUCACGGAAUGUUUGAAGAGUUUAAGUCAGAAGCGUUAGCUUUCCACCCGGGAUACUCCUGGAUGGUCUUGAUUUAAGGGACAGUCCAGGUUUGUCCUCUCAGGUGUCCAAACUGUCCAAAGAGAAUGUAUUUAUUUUUGACGCAGUUGCUUACAAAGAAAGGCAGUACCGACUUUGUUGUGAACAGUCAAGC